UACGGAGGGGGUUAGCGUUGUUCGGAAUGACUGGGCGUAAAGCGCGCGUAGGCGGCUUUGUAAGUUAGAGGUGAAAGCCCGGAGCUCAACUCCGGAACUGCCUUUAAGACUGCAUCGCUAGAAUUGUGGAGAGGUGAGUGGAAUUCCGAGUGUAGAGGUGAAAUUCGUAGAUAUUCGGAAGAACACCAGUGGCGAAGGCGACUCACUGGACACAUAUUGACGCUGAGGUGCGAAAGCGUGGGGAGCAAACAGG
rnacentral:rRNA from 1 species